rnacentral:rRNA from 1 species
AUUGAACGCUGGCGGCAUGCUUUACACAUGCAAGUCGAACGGUAACAGGCCUUCGGGUGCUGACGAGUGGCGAACGGGUGAGUAAUGCAUCGGAACGUGCCCAGAGGUGGGGGAUAACGCAGCGAAAGCUGUGCUAAUACCGCAUGUGAUCUGAGGAUGAAAGCGGGGGACCAGGCAGCAAUGUUUGGCCUCGCGCCUUUGGAGCGGCCGAUGUCGGAUUAGGUAGUUGGUGGGGUAAAGGCCUACCAAGCCGACGAUCUGUAGCUGGUCUGAGAGGACGGCCGGCCACACUGGGACUGAGCCACGGCCCAGACUCCUACGGGAGGCAGCAGUGGGGAAUUUUGGACAAUGGGCGCAAGCCUGAUCCAGCAAUGCCGCGUGCGGGAAGAAGGCCUUCGGGUUGUAAACCGCUUUUGUACGGAACGAAACGGCUCUGGCUAAUACCUGGGGCUGAUGACGGUACCGUAAGAAGAAGCACCGGCUAACUACGUG